GAUCAUGGCUCAGGACGAACGCUGGCGGCGUGCUUAACACAUGCAAGUCGAGCGGAAAGGCCACUUCGGUGGUACUCGAGCGGCGAACGGGUGAGUAACACGUGAGUAAUCUGCCCUUGGCUUUGGGAUAGCCACCGGAAACGGUGAUUAAUACCGGAUACGACCACUUCUCGCAUGGGAUGGUGGUGGAAAGUUUUUCGGCCAGGGAUGUGCUCGCGGCCUAUCAGCUUGAUGGUGAGGUAAUGGCUCACCAUGGCUUCGACGGGUAGCCGGCCUGAGAGGGUGACCGGUCACACUGGGACUGAGACACGGCCCAGACUCCUACGGGAGGCAGCAGUGGGGAAUAUUGGACAAUGGGCGGAAGCCUGAUCCAGCAACGCCGCGUGAGGGAUGACGGCCUUCGGGUUGUAAACCUCUUUCAGCAGGGACGAAGCGCAAGUGACGGUACCUGCAGAAGAAGCACCGGCCAACUACGUGCCAGCAGCCGCGGUAAUACGUAGGGUGCGAGCGUUGUCCGGAAUUAUUGGGCGUAAAGGGCUCGUAGGCGGUUUGUCGCGUCGGGAGUGAAAACGCCGUGCUUAACACGGCGCUUGCUUUCGAUACGGGCAGACUAGAGGUAUUCAGGGGAGAACGGAAUUCCUGGUGUAGCGGUGAAAUGCGCAGAUAUCAGGAGGAACACCGGUGGCGAAGGCGGUUCUCUGGGAAUGACCUGACGCUGAGGAGCGAAAGUGUGGGGGAG
rnacentral:rRNA from 1 species